GGUCUAUUAGCCAGUCGGUAGAGCACCUGACUUUUAAUCAGGGUGUCCCGCGUUCGAGUCGCGGAUAGAUCACCA
rnacentral:tRNA from 1 species